GGCGCUGUAGUGUAGCGGUUAUCACUCAAGAUUCUGAGUACUUCGGACCUCAUGAAUUUCUUGUAACCCCGGUUCGAUUCCGGGCAGUGCCU